GUACGCUUAGCAUACCCAUUUUUAUUGCGAAGGCUAACCACAUGUACGCAGUGCGUACCUAUUUUUACUGCUUUUUAAAAAUUGAAUAUGAAUAUUGAAUGAAAAUAGAAUGAAAUAAGGAUUGUUUCUAAAACUACACCCGAGUAACAGACAAGUAACAGACGAGUACAGACGAACACAGACGAGUAACAGACGAACACAGACGAGUAACAGACGAGUAACAGACAACCACAAACAACUACAGACGAGUAUAUUUUCUAAAUACGACCAAUAAACAGCAUUUUAUUGGUCGUAUGCAUUUUAUUGGUCGUUUUAUUGGUUUGCAAUAUUUUUCGAAAUGGCGAUUGCCGGCUGCAGUAUGUGAGAUUUAUGUCUUUAGCCGCUAUUGUAUGUGAAGUUAAAAACUGUAC
rnacentral:lncRNA from 1 species